CCAAUUUGGGGUCACCUGGGCACAGCUGGGCACACCUGGGCACACCUGGGCACUGCUGAACUCACCUGGGCACACCUGGGCACUGCUGCUUGGCUUGGGGGAACAUUUUCGGGUUUUUUUGGGGGAUUUUUUGGGGGUUCCUUGGGCAUCUUUUGGGGCUGUCGCUGCUGCACUGACUCACCUGGGCACCACUGGGCACACCUGGGCACUGCUGAACUCACCUGGGCACACCUGGGAGCUGCUGCUUGGCUCUGGGGUUGAUUCUUGGGGUCUUUUUUGGGAUUUCUGGGGCAGCUUUUGGGGUUCUUUGGGGUCUGUCGCUGCCUGGAGCUGCUGCACUGACUCACCUGGGCACAGCUGGGCACUGCUGAACUCACCUGGGCACACCUGGGAGCUGCUGCUUUGCUCUGGGGUGGAUUUUGGGGGGUUUUUCGGGGGUCUCUGAAGAACUUUUGGGGGUUCUUUGGGGUCUGGAGCUGCUGCACUGACUCACCUGGGCACACCUGGGCACAGCUGGGCACUGCUGAACUCACCUGGGCACACCUGGGCAUUGCUGGACUCACCUGGGCACACCUGGCAGCUGCUGCUUUGCUCUGGGGUGGAUUUUUGGGGUUUUUUUGGGGUUUUUUUGGGGUCUCUGAAGAACUUUUGGGGAUUCUUUGGGGUCUGUCACUGCCUGGAACUGCUGCACUGACUCACCUGGGCACCCCUGGCACACCUGGGCACCCCUGGCACACCUGAACUCACCUGGCUGCCGCUGCCGCUGCUGCUGCUGCAUUAAACUCAUCCCUGAGAGACCCCGGGAGUGGUUUUGGGGUUUGGGGGUUUAGGGGGGCCCCAAAAUUCACCUGAGAGGUCCCAAACUCACCUGAGGGGGCACCUGGGAAAUCCCAAACUCACCUGGGGGACCCCAAAACUCACCUG
rnacentral:lncRNA from 1 species